GAUGAACGCUGGCGGCGUGCCUAACACAUGCAAGUCGAGCGGCAGCGAGGGGUGCUUGCACCCUGUCGGCGAGCGGCGGACGGCUGAGUAACGCGUGGGAACGUGCCCCAAAGUGAGGAAUAACUGCCCGAAAGGGUAGCUAAUACCGCACAUUAUCUUCGGAUCAAAGUAUUUAUCCGCUUUGGGAGCGGCUCGCGUCGGAUUAGGUAGUUGGUGAGGUAAUGGCUCACCAAGCCGACGAUCCGUAGCUGGUCUGAGAGGAUGACCAGCCAGACUGGAACUGAGACACGAUCCAGACUCCUACGGGAGGCAGCAGUGAGGAAUCUUCCACAAUGGGCGAAAGCCUGAUGGAGCAACGCCGCGUGCAGGACGAAGGCCUUCGGGUUGUAAACUGCUUUUAUAAGUGAGGAAUAUGACGGUAACUUAUGAAUAAGGAUCGGCUAACUACGUG
rnacentral:rRNA from 1 species